GACAUUGGGGUGAGGAUGAGACAUUGGGGUGAGGAUGGGGACGUUGGAUGGGGACAUUGGGGUGAGGAUGGGGACAUUGGAUGGAGACAUUGGGACGAGGAUGGGAACCUUGGGGUGAGGAUGGGGACAUUGGGUGAGGAUGGGGACAGUGGAGUGAGGAUUGGGACAUUGGAGUGAGAAUGGGGACAUUGGAUGGGGACAUUGGGGUGAGGAUUAGACAUUGGGAUGAGGCUGGGGACAUUGGGAUGAGGCUGGGGACAUUGGGAUGAGGAUGGAGACAUUGGGGUGAGGAUGGGGACAUUGGGAUGGGACAUUGGGAUGAGGAUGGAGACAUUGGGGUGAGGAUGGGGACAUUGGAUGGGGACAUUGGGUGGGAAUGGGGACAUUGGAUGGGGACAUUGGAUGGGAACAUUGGAAUGAGGAUGGGGACAUUGGGAUGAGGAUGGGGACAUUGAAUGGACACAAUGGGACCCCAGUAAACAGUGGGGUGCAGCACCCCGGGGUGCCCCUACAGAGACCCCACAGAGGGCGAAAGAAAUCCCACCUUUCCCAGCUCUCUCUGCAGUGCCUCCCAUGCCAGGAUUUUACUUUUUUCCCCCAGAACCCCUAAUGGGGGGGGGGGCACAUCUCCCCUCCC
ensembl:lncRNA